rnacentral:rRNA from 1 species
CCACUGUGGAAGGUAGCUACUUUAGCAUCCCCGCUUCGAAUGAAUUCAACUCCCAUGGUGUGACGGGCGGUGAGUACAAGACCCGGGAACGUAUUCACCGUGACAUUGCUGAUUCACGAUUACUAGCGAUUCCAACUUCAAGCACUCGAGUUGCAGAGUGCUAUCCGAACUGGGAGAUAUUUUGAAGAUUUGCUCCACCUCGCGGUAUUGCGGCUCUCUGUAUACCCCAUUGUAGCACGUGUGUAGCCCUGGCCGUAAGGGCCAUGAUGACUUGACGUCGUCCUCACCUUCCUCCUGGUUACCCAGGCAGUCUGAUUAGAGUCAUCGGCGAAACCGUUAUUAACUAAUCACGAGGGUUGCGCUCGUUGCGGGACUUAACCCAACAUCUCACGACACGAGCUGACGACAGCCGUGCAGCACCUGUAUAACAGCUCCGGUAAACCGGCACUUUUAUAUCUCUACUAAAUUCUGUCUAUGUCAAGGCCAGGUAAGGUUCUUCGCGUAUCGUCGAAUUAAACCACAUGCUCCACCGCUUGUGCGGGUCCCCGUCUAUUCCUUUGAGUUUUAAUCUUGCGACCGUACUCCCCAGGCGGUACACUUAAUGUGUUAACUGCAUUACUGCUAUGUCGAGCAUAGCAACAACUAGUGUACAUCGUUUAGGGCGUGGACUACCAGGGUAUCUAAUCCUGUUUGCUCCCCA